GCCUGAUCUGAAAUCCAUAGAGGUUGGACACUACUCCGAACCAAACCUUCAAACCAGCCUUUCUGAGGUUCACCCACUACUGAAAAUCCACCAGAAGGAGUCAGGUCUGCAUCAAGCAGAAUGCUUUAGAAGUUGCUUGGAGGUUAAAGUUUAACUCCUAGUUCUAAAUAUCAAACCAGAAUCUGAAUUCCAGUUUCACUGCUGGCUUCUUUCUGUAAACUUUGCCAAAACAACUCCCCUCCCCCACAGCAGGAUCUGAACACCCCAUCAGGUUGGUGAGAAAUUCAACGUCUACCUCUGGAUCUGAAUUAUGCAGUCCAAGCCCAGAUCUUCAGGAAAUAUUGCAAUGACCAGUGCAGACAACACCACUGCCAAUAAGUGGUGCUGUAUCUUUAUCUGAAUAGUCAGUUCAGCUGAAGACCUGCAAGAGGUUGGCAAGGUUUAAUGGAGCCGCACUGCGCGCCAGGGCAGUCGGAUAGCUACCACCCUCACUUAGAGAUGGGCAGACUGAGCACUGAGAAGCAAAGUGCCUUGUCCAAGUUCUCUCUCUGGCCUCGUCCACCAAACAAACUUUUAUAGCCCGGCUUCACAGCUGGUCGUACAAAUGCCUGCACCCUGUCUACACUACAGCUCCUUCGCGGCUCACGUGACUGGCAGCGAAUUACAGCUACCAAGCUUGCCAGCAGAGGCAGCUGGAGAGUUCCCAUUGAGCAGGAUGACAUGGCUCACCCUUUGCCCCUGCCGGACGUUUCCCCAGCCCAGGAAGCAUGAGGCUGAUCUGGAAUAUGGUACUGUUCGCAGAAGCCUUGCCCAGGACUUGGCCUCUGGGCAGGUAGUGGAGGGGGCGAAGAAUGGGCCUGUGGACACAUCAGGCUGCCACAAGCACCCGUCCUGCACCAUGCAACAAGGAGCAUUGGAUUAGAGGAGUUGUAGACCUACCUAUUCUAGCACUGAAUGCACCCGUCUGCCAGCACAGAGUGCAUCCCUUCCAGCAGGAAGUAUCAGCUGUUAAACUUAUAUUACGCUUUGUAUUAGCCCAAAAGACCAGAUUAAAGUACUAAAGUUAGUGCAUUUCCCAUUUAUUACCCCUAUGAUUUACUAUCUAAAUAUUGAUAACAGCUGAAUACAUUGCUCACAGGUGCAGCUCAUUGGGCCUCCACGCCUCCCUGCCUCUGAGAUGCCAGAUCUCAGCCAAGCCCAGUCAAACUCUCCCAUGGGAUGGGCUCCGUGCCCUGCCCCCAUGCCACCUUGU